AGCCUUACUACAAGUCGAAUUCCACCAUGGUAUGAGAUUUCUUAUGUGUCUUUUUACUGGGAUGGGACUAGAGGCUAUGACACUUUGUAUUAUUCCAAGCGACAGGCAAAGAUUUGAGGUCAUCAGUAGUGAUGUUGAUGUGGAAUCUGGAUUCUGCUGCACUGGUGAUUAUUGUUACUAUCUCCUCUUCUGAAGGUCUCCUGAAGGCAUCUUGCGGAUUGUGUGUACAUUUUCAACUGUUUUGGAGGUUUCCUGCCUUAUUUUAAGACUGUUUUUAUCCGACAGCUUAACGUCUUUGUUUUUACUUGAUAUUAUCACCGUCUGGAGUGUUUUAUAUACAUUAAUUGAUCCAAAAUUGUUUAUAUUGUUGUUGUUUUCUUCGUUGCCGUCUUCAAUUUGCUUUUUAAGUCUGAAUCUGUUCCGAUGUGUCGGAGUAAUCCAAUCCAUUUAACCAAAAGUUGUCGGUUUGAGGUUUAGUUUAUGUUAUAGUAGAAGUAUAGAAAAUAUAUUUAUGAUAGAGAUUGCUCAAACAGCGAAUAAUACUGAUACGAAUAAUACUACUUGAUACUGCCUUGGAGUUUU